GGCCGUCGAAGUUGAAGAUGGAGUCCGGCUCUCGUAGGAGCCCGGACUAAGUCCCCCCGUGAUUAGAGUCGAAGGAGAGGUCCGGCUCCCGUAGGAGUCCGCUUGCAGUUGACGUUGUUGGCAGAGUCCGGCUCCUGUAGGAGUCCGGACGGAGGCUACUGGCAGCUGUUGGAGCUGAGGACGAAGCUCGACUCCCGUAGGAGUCCGGGCGGAGUCUUCCUGCAAUUAAAGCCAAAGGCGAAGUCCGGCUCCCGUAGGAGUCCGGACGAGACUUACCAGCGGUCGAUGCUGAGGACGGAGCCCGACUCCC
rnacentral:lncRNA from 1 species